rnacentral:tRNA from 1 species
UGGAAUGUAGAGCAGUGGUAGAGCAUUUGCUUAGCAUGCAUGAGACCCAGGGUUCAAUUCCCAGCACUGCAA